CCAGUGCCUAAGCGAGCUGACUGCAUUUCACCCUCUCUCUGCUCUCCUUUGGAUGGAACUACACAACGUGUGCCCUCCUGGGAACAAACUGAAGACAAGGUACUGAACUUGUGUUCAAGCACCAGCACUGCCACAGCAGCAUGGCACUUUGGAUGUUUAAAGCAGCAGUGCGACAAUUUCCUUGGCAUUAGAAGACCUGAGCGUGUCUUUAAUGGGAUUCAGGCUCGGUGCCACCAAGUGUGGACAGUCAGUGACAUCUACAGAACAGGACUUAAGAGGAGCUGCCAGGCAGCUGGGGAAGUUUAGUCUGGAGGAGGCUAAGCAGAGACCUCACUGCCCUCUACAGCUCCCUGAAGGAACACUGAAGCCAGAGAUUUAGGAGAAAGCAGCUAAGGACACUUUACAGCCUUUCCAUUGCACAGAAACUGCUGAACACCAGACUGGAAGAGAGCUGAAGGAUCAUCUGCUCCUGCCUUUCCUGGGCCAGAAGAUCUCAAAACUGCUUGAAGAGAAAGACACACUGAUGAUGAAAGAGAAGCCCAGGGGAUGGGACUGAGACUCACCGCAGCUCAUGUGCCAGCAAGUGUGAGUUUAUCUCACUGCAGGAAUGAACCCUUCUGAAAACCAAACCCCAAAGCAUCCAACAAGCCGGGGGGGAGCUGUCUGGUGUUGGAAGAUGUGCUGAGAGGAGCAGCAGCAGAGCCCUGGCCAGCAGCAGACAUACCGUAUUUGGUGGGAAAGACGUCCUCAUCUGUCACCAGCUUCUGCACCGAGCUCAUGACGAAGUCAACGUACUGAGGAGCAGUGCACUUGAUCUUCUUUCCCCGCUCAUCAUACCAGUAGUACUGUCUGUGGAGAGAAUUGGCAGUGUCACCACAGCACCCCUUGGCUCCACAGCUCGGCUCCUCUCACAGGUUAGUGCCUCACUGACACAAAACAGCAGCUGUAGCUGUACCAGAGACACCAGAGCGGCCACACAAGAGAUUCACUUCAGGCUGUCUUUCUACAUCACCUGUUCAAUUUCUGUUGGCCACUUUUGUUUCCCUCUCUUGCCUGAGUGCAGGUAGCACAGAGCAGAGAAAGUCUGCAGACAUAUCUGUGGAGAGCAGCUCAGCUAGGGGAGCUCCUGUGCAGGGCAGACACAAGGGUUAUGCACAGCCUGGAGAAUGCUGCAGGAAGCUUUUCUCUAACUGCUUUUGAAAGCCAAGAGCAUUGCACAGUAAACACAGAGUGGUUUGGGUUAGAAGGAACCUCAAAGGCCACCCAGUUCCAAUCCCAUCCCUCUGCCAUGGGCAAGGACACCUUCUACUAGCCCACACUGCUCUUUGUCCAGCCUGCCCUUGAGCACCUCCAGGCAUCCACAACCUCCCUGGGCACCCUGUUCCAGUGUCCCCCCACUCUUGCUGUCAAGAAUUUCUUACUAAUCUUCAGUCUAAAUCUGCCUUCCUCAAGCUUAAUGAAGUGGUCACUUUCUCAUGCUGAAGAGUGCAGCAGAGGAGUGAGCCUGGCAGUGCAGUGUUACUGAAGAGGCAGAAGGUGGCUCCAAAACACCAGCUUUGGCCAGCUCCUUCAAGCUGCUGCUCUCGGUACAAAUCCUGUUCCAAAAUCGACCGCAGGGGAAGUUUUCAGCACCCUCCUGCACAUCCCCACCAGCGUGCCUUAAGACUCAGAGUCUUUGUCUGCAGUCACAGGCUCCCCAAAACAUCUGGGUUUACAUUUGGCUCUGCCACUGGUUACUGGUGGCCCUUAAGGAACAGCAGACAUCAGCUCUUCAAAAGCAACCCCAAUUCCAGCAGUUGGCCAUAAUCGUCUUGAUUAACUGAGGCCAUCUCUCACCUGAUGGGGGAACCUGAAGGCUGGCAAAGCACUGAAAGUUUGUUUCUUCUCUUUCAGACAGGGCUAAUUAAUUGCAGCCCCUCUGAAUGCAAGAGCAGUGACCCCUUGUGUUAGGCACACGCAGGGAGAGGUGUUCUGCAGACCAGGAAUUGGGCAAAACACCUUCUAAUUAAUGGGGUUUUUUUUGCCCAUGUCACCUUAGAAGUGUCUUGAGUUCCAGUUCCUCAUCUCUUCCUUUAGUCUAAGCUCAAGGUGCAGUCCUACAUCAUUGUGGGAUAGGCAAGAAAUCCACUGUCCUGGUCUUCCUAACACACAGCACAGCUGGGGUUUGCUGACUGCCUCUGGAAGCAAGGUUGGAAGUGGUGUGAGCACCAGAACGUGGCUAGAACCUCACCCAGCACAUGAGCCUGUAAAAGCAGGUUCCAUUUUCUGCCUGUUUGUUCACUCCACCUCUGCUGCUGUUGGCUAAUGAUCUGUGCCCUGACCUUCCUUGCACCAGCACUGAAGCACAGAAUGACUUAGGUUGAAAGGUACCCCAGAGAUCAUCUACACCAACCUCCCCACUACCAUCAGGGACACCUCUCAAUCAGACUUGGCUGCUCAAGGCCUCAUCCAACCUAGCCUUGAACGACUCCUCCAGGCUGAAGGCAUCCACAACCUCCCUGGGAAACCUGUUCCAGAGUCUCACUACCCUCAUACUGAGGGCUUCUUCCUAAGCCCCACUCUAAUCCUGCUCUCCCUCAGCUUCCAACCAUUCCCCCUUGUCCUGUCUCCAGACACCCUCAUGAAAAGUCCAUCUGCAGCCUUCCUGUAGGAUCCCUUCAGGUAUUGGAAGGCAGCCUAAAGUCCUCCCUGGAGUCUUCUCCAGGCUGCAUAA